rnacentral:lncRNA from 1 species
AAAAAAAAUGAAUCAUCUUAUUUUCAGUCCACCGAGGUUUUCCUAUUGUGACAUGCCUGCUUUUUUUGUAGGAAAUUCAAGACAGGAUACGGAUUUUAGAACUUUAUGCCAAAGACCGUCAGUUUGCCGAAUUUGUGAGGCAGCAUCAAAUGAAAUAUAUGUAAGCAGUUCCCACAUCAACAGCGGUAGGACACUUGUGGAAAAUGAAGAUCACUCUUUGCCACAUUUCUGGGGCACUGCUGUAACUUCCUAGGCACAUUUAGGGUAUUUAAUUGAUUGGGUUGGAUUGGAAGAAGAAACAGUUAAUUUGGGAACUUUCUUCUUAUAUCUUCUUUCUUUAAACCCCAGAUAGAUUUUUCAGAAUUUUUUGGUUUCCAGAAGAGGAACUCUAAGAAUAGGUGAGUUAAUGGUUUUACAACUAAAAAGGAAAAAAAAAAUCCAUAUUUCCAGAGCAGAAUCCUGAGGCAGAAUAUAGAGAAUGGGGACUCAGAGUCUGGACUAUAAAAGGGCCAUUUCUGUUUAAUUAUUCUGGACUUCUAUCCUGAAAAUAUGGGCAUGUAAACCUGGGGUUAUUUUUAGAUCUGAAAAAUGCAGUGUGGUCUUUUUGUGUUUAUUUCUGGUUACAUUUUCACCAGAGGCAUUGUAUUUCAUUGUAUUGUAUUAUUGUGUUCAUUUCUGAGGGAUUUGAUGUCACUGGUUCAUUUGGGCCAGGAAUUAUAUAUAUUUUUUAAGUUCUUAAGGAGUAAAAGCCGUGUAGACUGUGAGUCAUAUGGGAAACAGGGACUAGAUUGAACCUGAUUCUCUUGUAUUUACCCUACGCUUAGAACAGUGUUAGACACACAGUAAACACUUAACAAAUACAAUAAGAAUAAUAAUAAUUCCAGUGGAACUGUGGAGAGUGUGAAGGGCAGCUCAGGGUGGUGGGUGUUGAAGAGCUGCAUCUCGGUUAGCCUUUUCCAAAUGAAUUUCUCUUUCAGCAAAGUGCGUGGAGAUACGGAAAAAAAAGGUAUUUUUAGCCCUGUCUGCACAUCUGCACAAAAAAUGCCCUUGCCGCUGAGAAUUAACUCAGAUGUAGUUGUGAAUUCAGUCAAAGGUAUUUAUCGAGCAUUUCUAAUGUCCGGAUCACUGGAUUAAGUGCUUGGGAGAGUAUGGUAUAGACGAGGCUGGGAUUGCCUUUGAAACAUCAAAAUGAGCAUUUCUGAGCUGCUGAUUGAUGACAGCCAUGUUGCUGUGAAAUGGUUAUAACUUUAUCUGGGGAAUUGCCUCAGAGGGAAUCCAACAUAAGGGACCCAGUGGCUUUAGCUGGGAUGGAGAGAAGAAAAUCAGAAGAGAAAUGUUGACGUUGGAAAGAUUAAACCAAUAUAUUGUGAUAUCUUGGAGUGCCUGAGUGCAAUAAAAUUGUGUUGCUGAGGUAAAGGAGUAACGCAGAUAGGAUAUUGGAGGUAUAGUAGUUGUGUAUUAGGCAAUAAGAAGAAGACUUGUAAAGCAGUAGACUGGAGAUCUUGGUGUUGUAAAUUGUCACCCCAAUCGUUCUGAUUUGUUGUGUGGCCUUUGGCGAAUUUCUUAAUCCUGCUUAAUCCUGCAUAUGUAAACUAGUUACAGAGAUCUGGCAAAUCCUGGGACCUGCUAUAAACUCCUGGAUAAAUAAUUUACUGUGGGAAUCCUUCUCUAGCCCCUUAAAGACCCACUGAGAAGCAAACCAUCUAUGUUUAAACUGGCCAAUAUCUUAUGCUUAAACUGACCUAUAUCUUACCAUUCCAUUCCCCUGCAUCUAAGAGGUCCUUGCCUGUAUCACUCUGGACAGAUGGAUGAAGGUCUACCCUAUUCUAAAACCCCUCUAGAGAUGUCAUUCAUAUAGCAAUAUACAAUUAAGUGCAUGCCAUCGAUCACGCCUCCGUUUCUGCCUUUGAAGGUGACAAAGAGAAACUGAACCCAAUUGAUGACAGAAUAUCUUCAUCCAAAAAGCAGAAUCAAAAUGACAUGGAGAUACUAAGGUUUCCCAAAAUCAUGUUCACCUAAAGCAGUCCUUGGUUUUAAGAUAAGAAUCACCAACAAAAAUACACUGUGGACUUCAAACAAGGGCCGGGGCACCUGUGAGAAAUGUCUGUCAAUCAACUCGUCAGUGGUAUUCAUUGAGUGCUUACUGUGUGCAGCACACUGUACUAAGCACUUGGGAGAGUACGAUACUACAGAGUUGGUAGACGUGUUUACGGUCCACAGAUCCCCGGUGUAAACCUCAACUGUCUUGAGGCAUCAACUUAGCGGGCCCAUUUUUAGUAAAUAGUAUUUAUUGAGCAUCUACUGUGUGCAGAGCAGUGUGCUAAGAGUUUCGCUGAGGCAUCAUCCUAGCAGAAGUAUUUUCAAUCAGUCAUAUUUACUGAGCACCUACCAUGUGCAGAGCACUACACUAAGAGUUUGGGAGAGUUCAGUAGGAGUAAUAGACAUGACUUCUUCCCUCCAGGGGUUCACACUCAGGCUGCAACAAGACCUAACCAUUCUUGAAUUGAUUUUAAACUUUUUCCCAGAAACAUAGAAGCAGUGUGGCCUAUUGGAAAAAAAACCAGGGGCUUUCACGUAAGAGGACCUGAUUUCUAAUCCCAGCUCUGCUACUUGCCUGCUGUGUGACUUUGAACGAAUCACUUUACUUCUCCACACCUCAGUUUCCUCAAUUUUAAAAUGGGGAUUCAGAACCUGGUCUCUCUUCUCCCAAGACCGUGAGUCCCAUCGGGAGACAGGGAUCGUGUCUGACCUGAUUAAUUUAGAUCACAUAGCAAGGCUUACAAAUACCAUAAAUAAAAUGCCAUUAGGAGGGGAUGGAAACCCACGUAUUCCGGCAUUUGACGUUCCUGAGGAGAAGUAUUUCUUAUCUGCACUCCCUUGAGAUCGCUUAGCUGAGCAAGAUGGGGUCACGGUCUUUUCUGAUAUUUUCUAAAUGGUUUCCAGUGAGUCACGGCAGACACGGGUGGGGCCAUCCCGCCGUAAUCAAAACCCCAGCUGGGAUGAGUCACGGUGCGUUCACUCUCCUAAUGCACGAUAAACCCUAAAGAGAUGUUGUGACUAUCACCGGCACUCGUGUUAAUCUCCACAGGAGACACAUCAUCAAUAAUGAGAUCUGUAGACAUUUCCUCCCAAGAAGCAGAGCUUCUCCCCACACAUCAUUUCCCGAAUCCUCACAACCUGAAGUAGGGAGUGUAAUCCCAUUUUAUGAAUGAGGAAAUUGAAGCACAAGAGGGGUGUAGUGAUUUGCCCAAGGUCACACGGUACCCAGAGAUAGAAUGGCAAACAGAGCCCAGAUAGCCUAGUUCCCAAUAUAGGAAUGAUGUUUGGAUGGUAAAUGAAUAAAAAUAACUAUAGCAAUAUAUUUCUCGGCUGCGAGGGGAUAUGUAUUGUACAUUAUUACGUUUUCAGCACAGUUCACAGGCGAUACUCUUCUCUUUGAAGCUCUUCCUUUACAACAGUAACAAUUUCCCCAGGACCCAAAUGAAUUAAACUCAUUUCAGUUUAAUUUUUGUUGGUACCCUUAACUGCUAUUUAUAUUAAUCUAACCCAGAGCUAAGAAUCAAAUAGAGAAGACUCCAUUAUACACCUGAUCUUUUUUUUUGUACAUAACCGUGUCAUAUUUUCACUACAAUAAACACCUUUUAUUUCAAAAACGCCUUUGCAUCUUUUAUGACCACCAGAAAGAUGUUCUUCCCUUUUUAUAUCUUGGAACAUUUGACAUGGAUUUCAGUUUCAUGCUUCCAGUCCAUACCGGUGCAGGUCAUCGUUGGAAGCUUCUUUCUGUGGCGGGCGAAAAUGAUCCUGAC